AAGCAACACUGGCAUGAAGAGUUUUCUCUCUAGCGGGUUGAGCUUCUGAGACCAGAGUCUCUUUGUUCUAUCAGUUCUAGCGAGCGCCCUCUACCGUUCUUGGGUGAGGGACGGCCUCCAUGCCCCGCUCGAAUGUGGGUUUCCUUCCUCUUCUCUAGAUGAGGCUAUAAAUAGGGGGUUAAUCUUCUCCAUAGAGGAUCUUCUUGCAUGUGGUGGAUUCUAUUACACAGAUGCCUUAAACUCUCUGAUUCUCAGCCAAUAGAAGGGCGCUUUCUAAUUUUUGGCCGUCAGGACGACCAUCUUUGGGACCCAUAGCUGGCUCGGCUUCUCUGAUUGACCAAUUAUCCCCUGAAAGCUCUAAAAUUGUAGGAGCUCUAAUCGUCACUCUUUCGUGGAUCAUCAGACAUUGUGGUUUCUUGUCUUUUGAGGCCUUCCUUUAUUUCCUUGGAGGGACGUUUCGUAAGUGUAAAAGAUUUGAUUGAGGUUUUGGGAAUAACUUGAGAAGUUUUCUUCAGGCGAAGGAGGACGGAGGAGAAGGAGAGGGUGGUGGACGGCACUGUUUAGCCUUCUCUCUUUUCUCCUUCAGUUAGCUCGAGGGUUUCUUUAGUGGACCUUGGGCCAAUUGUAUGGUAGAGAUGAGAAAAGAGAUUAUAAAACAUAUUAUUAUAAUCUCCAUAGUGAUCAGUUUCUUGACAUAUAAAAUCGUACCGUAUUGACCCAUUGUUUCUGCCUUUUCUGCAUCUGGGAUUUUAGAGAUUUUAUAAAAUGUUGGUUUGGUUUGAUUGUUUGAGCAUGAGCAGAAAACUUGAGUCAAAGAAACUCUGGAGUUUGACAGCUUCGAACACCCAGAGCAUCCCAUGCUCUGUGGAAGAACACUUCAGAAAAACCGUUGGGACCAGAGGCUUUAAAGCUACCCAAGGUGAACGCUGAAUUAUUCACUUUCUUUAGUCAUCUGCAAAAUCAAAUUGCAUAUUCUUGAUAUUGGACUCUCUACUUUACCCAGUUUUCUUUGGAUAGCUACUUUAGCAAUGAUUUUUGAAUAUUUAUAAAGCCCAAAGUUGGGCUCUAAUUGGACCUCUCUUUUUCGGGAUGAGUUUAUGAAGCCCUCAAACCUCUAUCUACUCUAGGCCCAUGUCCAACUAGAAGGAUAUUAUAAGGGCAUUUCAGUCAUUUUCAUAACCCAACAUGAUCCAAACAAGAGCGCGUCGAGUCCGCUAACCCUAAACUUUCCAGGCACUGGCCCUCUCUCUCCAUUAAAGCAGAUUCUCGCCGCUCGCCGGUUCAUCUUUCGUCUUCCUUUCUUAUGCCUUUUGUUGAGGGAUCUGAGGCUGUGUUUUCUGUUUUUGAUUUUCAUAUUUUUUUUUCUGUGUUUUGCCCGAUGAUGUACAUCACAAACUUGUUGAACGGUUGCAAAUGUUUGCUUUAGUUCACGCUAGCCUUCACUCACUAUCACUUUCGCCACCUCUACCGCCACCUCUACCACCACCACUACCUCCUCCUCCUCCUCAUUCUCUUCUUUAUUCAUACAUACAUAUAUAUAUAUAUAUACACACACACACAUAUAAGCGUUGUAGUGGUCUGUGAAGGCUUUCGAUGGACGCCAUUUGCGCUAAAACCGUGGAUGAUGGUUCGAAGCUAUGAGAUCUGAGGGCUUUUUAUCAAAAUUUUCCUUUUUAAUGGAAACCCAUACAUGCAUGUUGCCUGAACAGUUUCUUUGAGGGAAACCCAUGUCUGCAUCUUGCCUGAAACGGUGAAUAUGUUAAACGUGUGCUCAUAUUGGCUUUGAAUGUUUGCUUUCUUUGGUCUGAUGGACUUAAUAUAUUUGCUUUUAAAUUUUCAAUUGGUCGUUUUUGUCUUUUAUAUUGAUUGACACAGAUUUCUAACUAUGAGGUUCCGUCAUCACAAUGAGCACUUGCGUCUUGAGGAAUACUGGCUGUUGGUUGUGGUAGUGGUAAUGUUCUAUUUUGUUCUGUUAUCAGAGAAGAUGUGGAUUGGUUUUUAAUGAAAUUAUAUGUUCCCAAAGUUGCAACAGGUUUGAUCUGAUGGCUUCUAUGGCUUCUUAAAUUUAUUCAAAUUUGCCAUUUUUGGUGGACACAUUAGUAUUCCUGUUUUUUAUUUGAGUAGUGCUUCAGAAUAUUAUAUUUUGCAAUUAAGUUGAUCAACUUUGUUAUAUCUUCUGCAUCAGCUUUUCUUCAUCAGUAUUGUAUUUAAGUGUGUCAAUAAUGUGGCGCAAAAGUUUUUAUGGUGUGCAAUUAGCAUCAAAUAUCACAUAUUCACUGGAAGGAAUGACAUCCUUCAUCUUUUAUUGGCCAAUACAAAAAGAAUGGGUUUUUUUUUCCUGGACUUGUAAUCUGACUCUGUUGUGCCAUUUCUAAUCAAAAGCUAACUUUGAGCUUAAUUGAAUCAAGGACUACUUAUUUUUAUGCAGGCCAAGGAGCUCAGCAAUAUUGACUUUAUCUCUGUAUUCAUUGUAUGUCCCUGAUUGAGGCUGAGGUCGAGGUUGGUUUUCCAGAAAGCAUUUUUCGUAAAGGGGCCUUUCUAAAUGCUGUUGAAAAAAAGCUUUUGAAAAAGAAAAAAGCUAUUUAGUAGUUUUGGAAUUCUUAUGAUUAAAAUAUGUCAAAUUUGAUUUUAAGCCAAUUUUUAAUACCAACAUAUUUAAGGAGAUUUUUUCUUAGUAGAUGAUGUCUGGGAAUUUCGACUGGUAAACUUAAUAAACUAAAAUUAUAUAAUUAUGCUCUAAUUGAAUUUUUUGGUAAUAAGUUAUGUAAAAUUUUCCUGCUAUCAUAACAUGACUUGUACUCUAGUGAGAGUUCUUGGGUAUUACUGUCUUAAUAGACAACAAUUGUAUGCGCUAUAUUCUUUUUGACUCCAAAAUGAAUGUGAUUUGCAGUUGUGCUAUAUUCAGAUAUAGGUAUCCCGAGUCGUCUUCAUGUCUCUCUGCCCAAUGAUGGACAAUGAAAGUUAGUGGAAUGGUUGCUAGAUUGUUCACUGGGGACAUUUUUUGCCAUCUUUACCUUACUAUCAGCAUUACCAUAACCUCUCUCUCUCUCUCUCUCUCUCUCUCUCUCUUUAUCUAUCUAUCUAUCUAUCUAUAAGGGUUGAUAUUGUGGAAAGGUUCUCAGUGAAAACCAGUUAGGUGCAUCCUUGAUGACCUGCUAUAGCUAUGAUAUCUGAGGGCAAUUUUAGUUUAUAUGCAUCCAAAUGGUUCCAGAUUUUAUCUUUCCUCUUGAUCUCAUCACAUGGAUAUAAUUAUAUUUGUUUAGUCUACAAAAACUCCCAUUUGAAAAAGUUAAAAGAGUUUGGAUUUUUUUUCAAUUGAUUCGUUUCGUUCCGUUUGACAUUUUUUAUUUAGUUUUUGUUCUGUUGCUGAAGGAAUGGAGCUGAUUCUUGGAGUCAUAAAUUUUGUACACCUGUAUAUAUUUUUGCAGAUAAUUAAUUUCUGAAGCCAUUUAGGUAUGUGUUAGAUGUCAACUUUUCUUUAGUCAUUUUCACUUCUGUGCUUUUAUGUUAUUGAUGUGAACUAAUUAUUCCAGUUAGGAGCCGCAAAGAUUUUGUUUUCUUAAUUGUCUAGUAAACUGCUCAGUGAUGAUAACUCAUUACACAGAGUGGUGACAUUGUUUUUCAGUGCAAGCCUCCGCUAUCUCUUACUGCCCCUCUUAUCAUUUGGCUGGAGCUAAUUCAGCAUCUUCUUUUUCUUCUUCUUCUUCUUUUUAUUGUUAUUAUUAUUAUUAUUAUUAUUAUUGGUGGUGGUGGUGGUGGUGUUUCCAUUAUCAUUUUGAGAGGCGAGGAGGCUUUAAAUGAAAAACAAGGGCUUCACCAACUAUGAUUUGUUAUAGCUAUGAGAUCUGAGGGCAGAUCAUGUUACCAUAGUAUUUGGGUGGGUGAAUACUUUAAAUGCAAAUGCUAAUGAAGGUUGUGCCGCAGAAAGAUCAAUUUAUAUAUUGCCCCUUCAUUAGUAGUUGUUCUUUAUUCUUUAAUUUUCUGGCAAGUAUGAUAACCGUCGAGUUGGUUUCAUGGGUUAGCUGUUUUGUUCUUUCAUUUUUUGUUGUCAAUGGCAUGUAGGUUUACAAUUAGAAAUAAUACCAUUGAAGUGUAUUAUGCCUAAUGAUGGAAAAAUCAACUGAAUUGAGUGGUUGCAUGGUUUUUUUGUCACUGGUCUUGCUACCACCUUUGCGUGUGUCCUUUGUGAAAAGGCUUUGAUGAAAAGUCUGCAUUUAACCUCAUAUGAUCUGUUAAAGCUAUGAGAUCUCAGCGCCUAUUUCUGAGUGUAGCCCAAGUCCUUGGUGAUUUAUUAUUGAAUUAUGUGUGGUGCUUUUCAGGAUAUAGUAAUAGUAUUUGGAAUAGGAUUUGAAAUCAUGCAAUUACAAGUUUUAUCCUUCAUGUUUUAAAACGCUUGAUGAGGAAUCUAAUUAUUUCCUUAUUUCAGAUAAAUUUUAAUCCUGCAGUUGUCAUGCUAUUAGUUUGCAUUAGAUGUUAAAAUUUGCAUUUUUUUAGUUAUGAAGGUCAUUUAGCUCCUAAAUUUGCAUAUCCUGAGUUGUCUUCAUGUUUCUCUGCCCAAUGAUGCACAAUGAAAAGUUAGCGGAAUGUUUGCUAGGUUGUUCACUGGGAGCAUUUUUUUUCCGUCUUUACCUUACUAUCAGCAUUACUAUAAACUCUCUCUCUCUCUCUCUCUCUCUCUCUCUCUCUCUCCAAGGGUUGAUAUUGUGGAAAGGUUCUCAGGGAACACCAGUUAGGUGCAUCCUUGAUGAGUAGGUAUAGCUAUUUUUGGUUUAUAUGCAUCCAAAUGGUUCCAGAUUUUUCUUCUCUUGAUCUCAUCAAAUGGAUCUGCAGUUGUCAUGCUAUUAGUUUUCAUUAGAUGUUAAAAUUUGCAUAUUUUUUCGUUAUGAAGGCCAUUUAGUUCCCAAGUUUGUCAUUGUUGAAGUUUUGUUUUUCUUCUGUUCUGAUUUUUAGAUGAAAUUUAGAAGUUGCAAAAUUGUGAGCUUUUUCAUGUUGUAUAGCGAAGUACGGAUGAAAUCAAGGUAGCCUGGGUUGGAGUACAUGCCACACCUGCAUUCCAGGUUUGGGGAUUUAGGCUAAAUAACAAUGGUUUACAAAGUUGUAAGGGCGAGAUGGCCAUAGAAAUAAUUUAUUGGAUGUUAUAGUACAGUAAUUUAAUGUGAUGUUGAAGAUUUUGAUUGCAAA